AUACUUUAUAGCUGUGGAAGAUGACAACAUUUUCCCACUAAAUUCGGAGGAAAGGAAGCCUGGUGUGAAGCAUGCCCCGUAUAUAAGUAUUGUAGGUGAUGAACCUCCUGCCAGCUGCGUGUUUAGUCAGGUGAUGAACAUGGCAGCAUUUCUAG